rnacentral:lncRNA from 1 species
CGACAGUCGGACAAAAAAUUUAUUUUUAUUAGUAAAGUAUACUUUCAAAUUAUGCUGGGUUCGUGCAUCCCUUAUCUUUACAACCAUUUUUCCGACAAAAGUAGUAGGUUACAAGUAAUUAUAUUCUUAAACAAAAAAUAUAAUUGUCUGACAAAAAUGUUGGGGCAAACGAACAGAAAACUUAAUUCUUUUAGGCUAUCGACGAGGAGGUAUUAUCAAAAAAAAAAAUUUAAAACAGUGUUUCUCGGUUACUUUUGAAUCGAUUUAGCUGAAAAUUGGUACACACACUAAGUAAAGCAUUUA